rnacentral:rRNA from 1 species
AGAGCGAACGCUGGCGGCAGGCCUAACACAUGCAAGUCGAGCGCCCGUAGCAAUACGGGAGCGGCAGACGGGAUAGUAACACGUGGGAACGCGCCCUUCGGUUCGGAAUAACUCAGGGAAACUUGAGCUAAUACCGGAUACGCCCUUACGGGGAAAGAUUUAUUGCCGAAGGAACGGCCCGCGUCCGAUUAGCUAGUUGGUGAGGUAAUGGCUCACCAAGGCUACGAUCGGUAGCUGGUCUGAGAGGAUGACCAGCAUCACUGGGACUGAGACACGGCCCAGACUCCUACGGGAGGCAGCAGUGGGGAAUAUUGGACAAUGGGCGCAAGCCUGAUCCAGCCAUGCCGCGUGGAUGAUGAAGGCCUUAGGGUUGUAAAGUCCUUUAACGGGAAGAUAAUGACGGUACCGUAGAAUAAGCCCGGCUAACUUCGUGCCAGCAGCCGC